GAAACCCGGUCAGAAAAACCCCCAAAAUGAAGGAUCUGUACAAACCCUAGAAAACGAGAAAAAAGAGUUCGACUAAAGUCAACGUCGCCUGAAAAUCGCCUCUGCUCACUCUCUCUCCUUUUUCAGAUUAGGAAUGACACAUAUUUCCCAAAGAUUGUAUCUUUCGAAUUCCAACUUGAAUUCCUAAGGGUUGCAUCCCUUCUGUUGGUUUCCCAAUUGAAACUAGCUUAACCUAACUAAUUCGGCCAUAUUAAGAUUAAGCCCGUUAAUACAACCUAACACCCAUAUCCAGUAAGGUACUAGCCAAAUGACUUUUCCAUUCAUAUACGAAAGUUGAAUUCAAUUCUCCAACAGAUGUCGUAUGAGGGUUUCGAGGAAAUAAUUCGUGAUGUUUCCUAAAGGAUCUAAGAUUUUUUACUCCGACACAUUGUGCUCUACAAUCCCGUCACGAUCUUGGUGUUUAUUGGAAGUGCUCUAAUGUAAAUAAGAGAGUCCAAACAAUAAAUAGGAGAGUGAAAAGACAAGAAAAGGAAGAGAAAAAAGUGAAAAAAUUGGGGUGUAAUAAACCCGAAACCCUAACCCUGAAGGGCUGAAAUCCUCAAACCAUCACAAUUCCGAAGCCAAAUGAGUUUUGGGACUCGGUAAACUAUACACAGAAAAACCGGCCGCUUCAAGGUGAAAACCUAUACUACACAAAAUACUACGAAAUCCAGGUUCUUUCAUCACAAACUUUUAUUCUCUACAUAGUGAAGUGAAUGAAGACGAUUUGUAGAUUAAGGAAAAGGAAGAAACAAGAUAUGGAAACAGCUGUUGUUGUUGUAAGAAGAAAAUGGUUAGAUCUGGGAAAAAUCUCUGUACGGACGGACUCGGAAAUGGGGUUUUCAUUAGCUCUUUACCGUGGCUCCUUCUAAAUGCUCCGAUAACCAGAGUUUGCAACAGAUCCUCCACAAUCCCGGAUUCUGUUUCACAUCUAUAGCAUAACCUCUUGCACAACAUUCACCAACAGACCGGUGAAUGUUGACCUCCGUAACUCGAUGGAAGUUGACGAAGGGGCCAUCCAUGGUUGUAUGUGGUUCAAUUACUGAAUAGAAGUCGUGAUUCUAGGAAAUAAAUUGUUUGGUUUUGGGUAAAAUCUGAAGUAUGAGCGGAAUCGGAAAUGGUUUUCUAAGCGCCACCAUGGUUUAGAAUGAUCAGCAUGGUGAAUAUUACAAAUUAGACUAGUACUCUGGUUGAUAAAGCUACUACGAGCGGCACGAAGCUUAUGGUACUAUUCCACAGUUGGGCAGAUUUCCAGAUCACUAAAGCAUGUUGAGAUCUGGGAUGAAAUCGAUUUGGUGAAGUCCUAGGAGUUGUUGACAAAUGAGAGAAUCUCUGUAUUUAGCAAGAAGAAUAUUAUUGAAGACAGGACGGAUAGUUAAAGGAUUUCAGUCGACGUCCUUGAUUAUUUUUAGAGAAAGACUGAAAAUCAUGAUUGGUGUUGUCAAUCCGAGUUCUGCAGAAAGGAAGCUCUUCAAUGCUUAUAGUGACAAGCCAGUGCUUUCGCGGCCUCAAUAUAAUUUCUAUCGGGUAACCUACAGUUCACUUGCAUUAUCUAAAUAGUGAUAUUAUAUUGUUCACUAAGUUUGACUUACAUUCUCUAAUAUAGAAUUGAUCUUUACAUUAUUCAUAAGAUCACAGUUAAUGAAAUCAAUCAACCGUACUUUUCAGUUUGAAUAUGAAUUAACAUGAUGAUUCUGCAGAAACAAGAGGAACUGCCAGAGAAAGUAUUGCGUUGUUUGACUUCAUAGAUCAUGGUCAAA